ACGCGAGGUGCGCUUCAGCUGCGUCGUCUCCUGAAAUUUUAGGGGUGUUAUUUCGGAUUCAGGCUAAAAUUUUCAAGCCGUCUUGUGCUGCGUUUUUCCUCCCAGUUUGAGAAGAUUCCAGACUGCCUUCAUGGAAGAGCAUCAUCAGCUGGAUUCAGAAUACAGGGAACUAACUGAUGGCUGCAAAGGAUCUGCUGGCCUUCAAGAUUAGUCAUGCUUUGUGCUAGAUGAAUAAGGGUGCUGGAAAUUUGCUUGCAUUACCAUCAAGUCCCUCUUUGUUUUUAGCCACUGUUGUUGGAUUCUGAGAAGUCCGAAGUGCCAUUGCUCAAGACUUAGAUCACCAGAAGACAUGGAGAACCUUACCUGGACUGCAUACACCUGCAUUAGAGUGUAAAAUGGAAGAUCGCAUUUUACAGGUUAUCAAUAAGUUUCUCCUGGAUUAAAACGUACAAUAUAAGGGUCCGUGGAAGAAAGUCUGCAGGAGAGGACCCAUCACUGCUGGGCCAUGGUUUGCAGAGUACUCCCUGUCAGGCAGCACUGUGACCACCAUGAAGCAGGACAUGCCAGGCAUGAGGGAGUAGAGUGACUGACAGCAAAGUACCCACACGUCUGCUGGGGAGAGAUGCAGUAUAUCUGUGGUUUUUCAGUACCAAAAGUGUAAGAAGAUGAUGGGACUGGGAUAAGAACUGAAGAUACAUUUGAUCAGAAAAAAAUUACGAAGAUUUCAGAGCUUACAAAGAAAAUGCAAUGCUUUCCUUGGCCCUAUCCACUAAACUGUUUCCAAUAAGAAGACUUCUGCAGCCACAACCAACUCCACAGCAAUUGUCUGUGCAUGUUCAAAAAUCUUAACAUGUGAGCAUCUUGGCAGAACGGAGUCUACCUGAACUCAAGGAUGUGUAGAGCUUUGCAAAGUAGAGCAGCAUCAAAUGGGAGAAGAGCAUGUUAUGUAUUUUUGUGUGCACCUAACUGAAACUUUGGAUUAUGAUUGUAUCUAGGGCAAGCACAAGAGAAACAUGGUUAUCUUACCUGCUGUGUGCUGUAUUACUGUGAGCACCGUACUGUAAAUGACCAAUUUUUCUUUUCAGUAUUAUCCCUAUAGUCAGUCACAAAAAAAACCCCAGAAAACGUUUUGCCAUAUCUUCUACUGAAAGUCAUGCAAUAU